rnacentral:rRNA from 1 species
GACGAACGCUGGCGGCGUGCCUAACACAUGCAAGUCGAACGAAGUGGCGAACGGGUGAGUAACACGUGGGUAACCUGCCCUCCUUUUGGGGAUAAGCCUUGGAAACGGGGGCUAAUACCGAAUAUAGGGGGGUGGGCUCGCGGCCUAGCAGCUUGUUGGUGGGGUGAUGGGCUACCAAGGCGGUGACGGGUAGGCGGCUUGAGAGGGUGACCGGGACCUUUGGUACUGAGAUACUGCCAAGACACGUACGGGAGGGAGCAUUGGGGGAAAUUGCGGAAUGGUCGAAAGCCAGAUGCGGCGACGCCGAGUAGGGGUUGAGGGCUUUCAGGUUGGAUACCUGUGUCGAUAUCGAGCCGGUAGGUGGAGAAGAAGCGACGGCUAACUACGUGCCAGCAGCCGCGGUAAUAC